rnacentral:rRNA from 1 species
UACGAAGGGGGCUAGCGUUGUUCGGAAUUAUUGGGCGUAAAGGGCUCGUAGGCGGUUUGUCGCGUCGGGAGUGAAAUCCACUGGCUUAACUGGUGGCUUGCUUUCGAUACGGGCAGACUAGAGGUAGGUAGGGGAGAAUGGAAUUCCCGGUGUAGCGGUGAAAUGCGCAGAUAUCGGGAGGAACACCGGUGGCGAAGGCGGUUCUCUGGGCCUUACCUGACGCUGAGGAGCGAAAGCGUGGGGAGCGAACAGG